UCCGGCAUGGUGUAGUGGCUAGCAUUUCCGCCUCUCAUUCAAGUAUUCCUCUAAGGAUUGCGAAAAAAGGUCGCGGGAGACCGGGGUUCAAUUCCCCGUACCGGAA